AAUAUUAAAAUUAUUUCUGAAUCAUUUUCUAUAUUUUAUAUACCGAGAGAGAGAGACAGAAUAAGUUGAGCUGGAAUACUAUCAAGUAGCAAAUAAGUUUUAUGGUCAUUUAUUUAUUUUCAAUGAUGAAGCCUUCAAAUCGGCGAUUGGCAUUACUGAAUAUAAUCUAUACAAUUUGAAAUAUCUAGAAAUUAAAUUUUAAAUUUUUUCGACAUCACUGGCCUAACGAUCAAAAUAUUUCAAAAUUUAUAAUUUUAAUAAUNAUCUAUACAAUUUGAAAUAUCUAGAAAUUAAAUUUUAAAUUUUUUCGACAUCACUGGCCUAACGAUCAAAAUAUUUCAAAAUUUAUAAUUUUAAUAAUCAAUAUGAAGCUUUUUUAUUUAACAGUGUAAAGAUAUUCAAAUAAAUUAAAUUUUGGUUAGAAAAUUUUUUUAAACUAUUUAGAAUAAGAUCUACACCUUCGAUUUUAAAAUUAAUUAAUUAAUUAAUUAGGCUAAAAUAUUAUUAAUAGCAAGUCAUUAGUGGCACCAAGUUAUUGGUGCUAUUAAAUUUUCCGCUCUUUAAUGAAAAAAAUGUAUAGUUUGGUCUUCUAGGGUUGAGUGUAGAACUAUUAUAUUUACAAAAAUAUAAAAAAAUUGCUACAUUCAACUUUUUAACUCUUGAAUUAAAAAUUAUAGGGAUAAGAGGAUAGUGAAUUUUUUUUAGGAUUGAGUAGCUCCUCUAGAAUUUAGUGGUUCUUUUUUAGAAAAAUAAUAUUAACUCAGGAGUUAGAAAAUAGUUAAAAAGCUAAUU
rnacentral:lncRNA from 1 species